CCAGAUAGGAUGGAAAGAGAGACUUUGUGGGGGCGGUGACCAGACCACGUGGAGGCCCAGAUAGGAUGGAAAGAGAGACUUUGUGGGGGGCGGUGACCAGACCACGUGGAGGCCCAGAUAGGAUGGAAAGGGAGACUUUGUGGGGGGCGGUGACCAGACCACGUGGAGGCCCAGAUAGGAUGGAAAGAGAGACUUUGUGGGGGGCGGUGACCAGACCACGUGGAGGCCCAGAUAGGAUGGAAAAAGAGACUUUGUGGGGGCGGUGACCAGACCACGUGGAGGCCCAGAUAGGAAGGAAAGAGAGACUUUGUGGGGGGCGGUGACCAGACCACGUGGAGGCCCAGAUAGGAUGGAAAGAGAGACUUUGUGGGGGCGGUGACCAGACCACGUGGAGGCCCAGAUAGGAUGGAAAGAGAGACUUUGUGGGGGGCGGUGACCAGACCACGUGGAGGCCCAGAUAGGAUGGAAAGAGAGACUUUGUGGGGGCGGUGACCAGACCACGUGGAGGCCCAGAUAGGAUGGAAAGAGAGACUUUGUGGGGGUGGUGACCAGACCACGUGGAGGCCCAGAUAGGAUGGAAAGAGAGACUUUGUGGGGGGCGGUGACUAGACCACGUGGAGGCCCAGAUAGGAUGGAAAGAGAGACUUUGUGGGGGGCGGUGACCAGACCACGUGGAGGCCCAGAUAGGAUGGAAAGAGAGACUUUGUGGGGGUGGUGACCAGACCACGUGGAGGCCCAGAUAGGAUGGAAAGAGAGACUUUGUGGGGGUGGUGACCAGACCACGUGGAGGCCCAGAUAGGAUGGAAAGAGAGACUUUGUGGGGGGCGGUGACCAGACCACGUGGAGGCCCAGAUAGGAUGGAAAGAGAGACUUUGUGGGGGCGGUGACCAGACCACGUGGAGGCCCAGAUAGGAUGGAAAGAGAGACUUUGUGGGGGGGGUGACCAGACCACGUGGAGGCCCAGAUAGGAUGGAAAGAGAGACUUUGUGGGGGCGGUGACCAGACCACGUGGAGGCCCAGAUAGGAUGGAAAAGACCACGUGGAGGCCCAGAUAGGAUGGAAAGAGAGACUUUGUGGGGGCGGUGACCAGACCACGUGGAGGCCCAGAUAGGAUGGAAAAGACCACGUGGAGGCCCAGAUAGGAUAGAAAGAUUCCCCUAGCCAGUAGAAAGAGAAAACACUUUUCCAGCAUUAGCUCGGUAAAGGGGGAUUGUUAGGGGGCUACUGCUGGAAAUGCUUCAAUCUGGGACCUCAUCUCGUGUUUUCCCCCAACCAUAGGCUGCGCGUGAGUUUCAAGUUUGGGGAAGAUCAUUUUCACCAUAAAAACACACCAUCAUCGCAUGUGCAGACUUAUUAUACAUUUUUGAAUGUAACCUUUAUGUAACCUUUAUUUAACAAGGCAAGUCAGUUAAGAACAAAUUCUUAUUUACAAUGACGGCCUACAUCGUCCAAACCCGGACGACGCUGGGCCAAUUGUGCGACGCAAUAUGGGACGCCCAAUCACAGCCGGUUGUGAUACAAUUUAUGUGAGCCUACUGUACUAUUCCUAAUCUGAUGAGUUGAUUGGAUAGUCCUAAUUUAAGCUAAUAAUGUACCUCAAUCCUGACCCCUCCUGUCUCAGCCUCCAGUAUUUAUGCUGCAGUAGUUUAUGUGUCGGGGGGCUAGGGUCAGUUUGUUAUAUCUGGAGUACUUCUCCUGUCCUAUUUGGUGUCCUGUGUGAAUCUAAGUGUGCGUUCUCUAAUUCUCUCCUUCUCUCUUUCUUUCUCUCUCUCGGAGGACCUGAGCCCUAGGACCAUGCCCCAGGACUACCUGACAGGAUGACUACUUGCUGUCCCCAGUCCACCUGGCCGUGCUGCUGCUCCAGUUUCAACUGACCUGAGCCCUAGGACCAUGCCCCAGGACUACCUGACAUGAUGACUCCUUGCUGUCCCCAGUCCACCUGACCGUGCUGCUGCUCCAGUUUCAACUGUUCUGCCUUAUUAUUAUUCGACCAUGCUGGUCAUUUAUGAACAUUUGAACAUCUUGGCCAUGUUCUGUUAUACUCUCCACCCGGCACAGCCAGAAGAGGACUGGCCACCCCACAUAGCCUGGUUCCUCUCUAGGUUUCUUCCUAGGUUUUGGCCUUUCUAGGGAGUUUUUCCUAGCCACCGUGUUUCUACACCUGCAUUGCUUGCUGUUUGGGGUUUUAGGCUGGGUUUCUGUACAGCACUUUGAGAUAUCAGCUGAUGUACGAAGGGCUAUAUAAAUAAAUUUGAUUUGAUUUGAAUCACUGUUCGCAAAAAAAGACUGUUCAAUGCAUGGCUGAGCGCGUAUAGCGUAGAGUAGACCUUGGCUAUAGGCUAAAGGCCAGGGAUCAUCAACUACAUUCAGCCACAGUCCGAUUCUUUCUUGAAUGGAUGGUCAGGGGGCUGCAACAUAAUUAUAAAUAAUUUGUUUCUUCUCCUUUCUUUGCAAGGGAAGAAUUUGGACUUUUAUAAACACAUUUCAUGCAAUUCUACUACACUUUAUAAACUUAGCAAAAAAAGAAUAGUUCUCUCACUGUCAACUGCGUUUAUUUUCAGCAAACUUAACAUGUGUAAAUAUUUGUAUGAACAUAACAAGAUGAUGUCUGAUGUCAAGUGAGGGCCUGCCUUACAACAGGCCUAGAAGCCUUCAGUCCAGCCUCUCUCAGCCUAUUGCGGACAGUCUGAGCACUGAUGGAGGGAUUGUGCAUUCCUGGUGUAACUCGAGCAGUUGUUGUUGCCAUCCUGUACCUGUCCCGCAGGUGUGAUGUUCGGGUGUACCGAUCCUGUGCAGGUGUUGUUACACGUGGUCUGCCACUGCGAGGACGAUCAGCUGUCCGUCCUGUCUCCCUGUAGCGCUGUCUUAGGUGUCUCACAGUACGGACAUUGCAAUGUAUUUCCCUGGCCACAUCUGCAGUCCUCAUGCCUCCUUGCUGCAUGCCUAAGGCACGUUCACGCAGAUGAGCAGGGACCCUGGGCCUUAAUUGCCUACCGUCUGUACGCUGUUAGUGUCUUAACGACCAUUCCACAGGUGCAUGUUCAUUAAUUGUUUAUGGUUCAUUGAACAAGCAUGGGAAACAGUGUUUAAACCCUUUACAAUGAAGAUCUGUGAAGUUAUUUGGAUUUUUACGAAUGAUCUUUGAAAGACAGGGUCCUGAAAAAGGGACGUUUCUUUUUUUGCUGAGUUUAUGACUGGAGACAUUAGCAGAAGAUUUUUUAAUACGACAAAUUACAGGGUAGCCCACUCUGCUGAUACUGACAAACAGAUCAAUGAAAAUAACGUUGUCUGAUGCAUAUAUUAGGCCUACGAGAAGUGGAGACACAAUUACAAUAUGAUAUCCUUCUAACCUGGAGGAGGAAAUUAUUGUCCAAAAACAACCUUUCAAGUGGCACUGACCUAAAAAUGAUAAAGAGUGACUAUGCGCACUCACCGGGGAUAUUACCGAUGCUCUCUCCAUUGUUGCUCUCCAUAAGGCUAUAGACCUACAAUUAAGUUGAGAAUUUGGAUAACUAAAAGACAGAUGAGAGUCUUUUCAUUGUCUUCUCCUUACAGCAAUAGCCAUUUUCUUUCCAAACUAUGUUUUCCCUCGAUUGAAUUUUGAAAUAUUGCGAUAUGCCUGGCUUGGCCUCUCUACUUUUCACUGAAAGUCACAUCUGAACAAUCAUCUAUUUGGUAUUUGCAGUGAGCGCUGCUCAAAUGGCCAUCUUUAGGCAAUGUGAUGGAAAACAAUCCACAGAUGACUUUUUAAGAAGCUCAUGAUCCUUUGUGGCCAAAUCAUAUGCUUUCUGGUGUAGGUGCCUAUUUUGAAGGAUUUGUUUGUUAAUAGAUAGGAGUAGGCUAACGAGGCUAUAUCAUUUUGGCAAUUUAAUUAAAUUUACUUUAAGGGAAGCUUUAUGGACGCGCCAACUAUGCCCCCAACCACGAUGUAAGCAAAGCUCACAACCAGACUGGUCUCUUCCACCCCCGCCACCCCCAACUUCCCCUGACACCCACGCACACCUCCCCCUGACUGACUCCACCAUCCGCCAACACCCACUCCUUCCUCCCUCUUUGUCUGGGGCUGGAAACCAAGGAAAAGUUCAAUGACCUCUCUUAACUCUCUCUUAUUCGUUCUGCGUGUUUUUUGGGGUAUCAGCUGAGCUCAUUCUGGCCAUGUAAAGGAAUGAGAGGAAAGCAUUGAUGUAAGGGAGUGGCAAGGAGUGGAAUGACUGGUACUCAGGCUAAUAGGCUUGGGUAGCACAUAGAGAGAUGAAGAAAGUGAGCGCAAGAAGAGAAUCUGAGAUGAUCCUCACCCACUACAUCAUCCUCUCCUCAAGCUCUUCAGCACCAAAUCUCUUCUAACGUACAUAAGAGGCUUCCCUGAUCAACGGAACAAUGGAUACCCAAAACAGGGGCCAUCCAUUAUUGAACCAAAAGAGCAACACUACUCAAUCAACAGUACAGACUGAAUACCGACUGGGAUACCACAACUCUCAAAUCAGACACCAAGAUGCUGUCUCUGUCAAACGUUGAGCUUUUUCAGACACCUGAACAAUUGCUUCAAACUCUACGAAAUGUAGAACUUUUUGAUUCUUGUGUAUGUGAAAUAACUUUUGAGGAUCCCUUGAUCUUCAAUGCUUCAGAGAAGUUUCUCUUCCACUUGAAAUGCAAGGUGAAUCACAACUUUGCAUUUAAUUAGUCUUCACCUUAACUCUUCUCUUCUAUUGUCCUCAUUAGAGGCAAGAUCUUCUCUAUCAAUACUGUAUCAAGCGUUGAGAAAACAUGGCCAGCAUGGGCUCCACCUCCAUCUGGACCUUCAAACAAAAGUUGACAGAAAGCCAGAGUUGCCAAUUAGCACAGAAUGAUGUUAUUUUCUCCCCAGUUAUCGCUCUCCAAACAGAACAAUGAGGAUCCGCGGUUCAGGCCGACCCACGCUCCGGUUACAUGUUUCUGCUGCGAGGCCCAGUUUGUGUGAGCGUAAUCCUUGAGAAAGCAGCUUUUUACAAAACACAAAGAGCAAUGCUGGAGCCAGGGACCUCAUCACCAGAUAAAAGUGUGGAACAAACUAUUUCCCCCUAUGAGGCAAACUGUCUGGUGUUAUAUCAGGGAGAGGUUUUACCAUGCGAUGAGUGCUGUGAAAACAUGACUUCACCUGAGAGUCAAAUGGGACUAUCAUAUCUUGGAUGUAGGAUUGGUGUAUACUGUUGGUUUGAAUGACUGUUGCUUGUUGAAGAGAUAUUUCUGUUCAAAGGCUGCAUUCAAAAACACGCAUUGUAUUAAGAUCCAAUAAAAAAUACAUUUCACAAUAUAA